rnacentral:piRNA from 1 species
UAACAGAGAAGGCACUAAUAAAGACAAAAGU